rnacentral:lncRNA from 1 species
UUCGUUCUUAUGUUGUACUGUUAUACCACUGUCCCAGGUUAGGGGAGGGUUGGGAUCCCACUAACAUGUUUAACCCCGCCACAUUAUUUAUGUAUGUGCCUGUCCCAAGUCAGGAGCCUGUAAUUCAGUGGUUGUCGUUUGUUUAUGUGUUACAUAUUUGUUUUUCGUUCAUUUUUUUACAUAAAUAAGGCCGUUAGUUUUCUCGUUUGAAUUGUUUUACAUUGUCUUAUCGGGGCCUUUUAUAGCUGACUAUGCGGUAUGGGCUUUGCUUAUUGUUUAAGGCCGUACGGUGACCUAUAGUUGUUAAUGUCUGUGUCAUUUUGGUCUUUUGUGGAUAGUUGUCUCAUUGGCAAUCAUACUACAUCUUCUUUUUUAUAUCAUAAGUAAAGCAGACGAGACAUUGCAGCAUUUGCGCUCUGGUAUUCUAUAGUCUGUAGUGUAUGGUUAAAUCAAUCCACAUCUGCGUUGUAUAUAAAGAACAUAAGAAAGUACUGUUGCACAAAAUGUUGGUUAUCGUUCAAUCUCAAAUUACUCAUGAAAGAUGCAUGCUGUUUUGCUGUAAUUUUUUGUUUGAUGGAUAUCGUUUUGGUUUAAACGUUGAAUAUCCAUAUUAUUGGCUAAAAAGUGUCGGUCUGCAUGAAUUGCACUUGGCCGAUUCUC